UCUCCUCCUUCUCUCUCCACCAACCCUCUUCAUUAUUCUAAAUCUUCUUUUUUUCUCACUCUUUCUCUCUCCUCCAUUCCAAUUCUCUUUUCUGUGAUUUCUCAUUUUCUUCUCAAAUCUCCUUCCCUAAACUCUAAUCUCCUUUCUUACCACUUCCAAAUUUCAUGUAGACGGCGCCACUGUCACCAUCACUGUCGUCACUGUGUCUCAUCUUUUGUUUAUGUCUUAUUGUCGUCAACACAACAAAAUGUUUCAAUGAUUCACAUUAAGAUUUGUAAAAAUAUGUUCUUAUUCUUCAGAUCUUGGGUUUUUUGUUGAUACAGAGUGAUGAUGAAGAGAUCUUACUCCCUUUUCUAUUUCGUAUAAAUCCAAAUCUGGGUUUUUGUAAUUUAUGAAAGAAAUCUUCUCAACAAUCAACCAGGUAAUGUGGUAAUUUAUGAAAGAAAUCUUCUCAACAAUCAACCAGGUAAUAUGGGAUCAAGUCUUGAUAUCAAUGCAUAAAUGUGGCUUCUGGUUGCAAAUCUCACGAUGUUUUCUUAUGAAUCAAGGGAAAUUCAUUUUAGGGAGUAAAAUGGAUCAAGUUCAUAGAAGCUUUUACAAAUGUUUAGGACAGGGUCACUCAAGUUUACAUAGACGAAAUAUAUUGCUUAUUAAAUUGUGUAUUCAUCAAUUCUAUGUAAAGAUUCAAGUACUAUUUUAUUUACCAAAUAAAUAAUGUAAUAUACUAUG